rnacentral:rRNA from 1 species
CCUACGGGAGGCUGCAGUGGGGAAUAUUGCACAAUGGGGGAAACCCUGAUGCAGCGACGCCGCGUGAGUGAAGAAGUAUUUCGGUAUGUAAAGCUCUAUCAGCAGGGAAGAAAAAAGACGGUACCUGACUAAGAAGCCCCGGCUAACUACGUGCCAGCAGCCGCGGUAAUACGUAGGGGGCAAGCGUUAUCCGGAUUUACUGGGUGGAAAGGGAGCGUAGACGGCGAUGCAAGUCUGAAGUGAAAGGCGGGGGCCCAACCCCCGGACUGCUUUGGAAACUGUAUGGCUGGAGUGCAGGAGAGGUAAGUGGAAUUCCUAGUGUAGCGGUGAAAUGCGUAGAUAUUAGGAGUAACACCAGUGGCGAAGGCGGCUUACUGGACUGUAACUGACGUGGAGGCUCGAAAGCGUGGGGAGCAAACAGGAUUAGAUACCCCGGUAGUC